UUUCCGAGCGAGCCCUCCCAGCGCCGGGGACGCGGCGCUCGCGCUCCCGCCCGAGCCGCGGGGAAACGGAGACAAGGAGACGCCGCCGCCCCCGGCGCCCCGGCCCUGCGCCCGCAGCAUGCCGGCAGCGGAGCCGAGCGCUGCCUUCCUCCUGCUGCUAGCGGAGGCCACGCCGCCGGCCUCCGGGCCGCCGCUGCGAGGGUAGCGGGGCUGGAGUCGGCUACCCAGGCACCGCGAGGCGGGCGGAGCUGGAAGAGGAGCAGGCAUCCUCCGCGGCGCGGCGGGCGGCGGCCCUGCUGCCCGGCGCGCCCAUGGCCCGGGAGCACGGAGAAUGCGAGCCGUGUUGCGCGGCCGCAGCCCAGCUCCGCGCCGCUCGCCCGGUGCCCCCCAGAGCUGCCCGCGUCGCCGCCGCCCCCCAGCUGCGGGCGCCCGGCCGCUGGCUGCGCUAGGGACCCACGGCCGCCGGCUGCGCAGGGGUGGUGGUGGCCCGGGAGCAGCGGGAGCGAGAGGAGGGCCCGGGCGCCGGCCGGGGUGCAGCGCGGCAUGCAGCUGCGGGCUCCGGUGCCGGCGUGAGGGUUGUCGGCGCGGGGCCCCGCCAUGGCUGGCAAGGACAGUGGCAACCUGAAGACGGUGAGACUGUGGCGGGACGCCGCCCUGCGCGCCAGGAAGCUGCGGAGCAACCUGCGCCAGCUCACGCUCAGCUGCCCGAGGGCCGGAGGCGAUUCACUCGAGUCCCCCGACGCCCCCCAGCUGGUGCUGCCGGCCAACAUCGGGGACAUUGAGGUGCUGAACCUGGGGAACAACGGCCUGGAAGAUGUGCCUGAAGGUCUGGGGUCGGCUCUGGGCAGCCUUCGCAUCUUGGUCUUGCGCAGGAACCGCUUUGCCCGGCUGCCCCCUGCGGUGGCGGAGCUAGGCCAUCACCUUACGGAGCUGGACGUGAGCCACAACCGGCUGACAGUCCUGGGUGCCGAGGUGGUGAGCGCCCUAAGGGAGCUGCGCAAGCUCAACCUGAGCCACAACCAGCUGCCGGCGCUGCCUGCCCAGUUGGGUGCCCUGGGCCACCUGGAGGAGCUGGACAUCAGCUUCAACCGGCUAGCGCAUCUGCCAGAUUCCUUCUCCUGCCUCAACCACCUGCGCACCCUCGACGUGGACCACAACCAACUCACCGCCUUUCCCAGGCAGCUGCUGCAGCUGGCUGCCCUGGAGGAGCUGGACGUAUCCAGCAACCGCCUGCGAGGCCUACCUGAGGAUAUCAGUGCCCUGCGUGCCCUCAAGAUUCUCUGGCUUAGUGGGGCCGAGCUUGGCACCCUGCCCAGCGGCUUCUGUGAGCUGGCCAGUUUGGAGAGCCUCAUGUUAGACAACAACGGGCUGCAAGCUCUGCCCCCCGAGUUCAGCCGCCUGCAAAGGCUCAAAAUGCUCAACCUCUCUUCCAACCUCUUUGAGGAGUUUCCUGAUGCGCUGCUGCCCCUGGCUGGUCUGGAGGAGCUCUACCUUAGUCGGAACCAGCUCAUCUCAGUGCCAUCUCUUAUCGCCGGGCUGGGCCGGCUUCUCACCCUGUGGCUGGAUAAUAACCGCAUCCGCUACUUGCCGGACUCCAUUGUGGAGCUGACGGGCCUGGAGGAGCUGGUCCUUCAGGGCAACCAGAUCGCUGUUCUGCCCGACAACUUUGGCCAGCUCUCCCGGGUAGGUUUGUGGAAAAUCAAGGACAACCCACUGAUUCAGCCCCCUUACGAAGUCUGCAUGAAGGGGAUCCCCUACAUCGCAGCCUACCAGAAGGAAUUGGCUCAUUCCCAGCCAGCUGUGCAGCCCCGCCUCAAGCUGCUCCUGAUGGGCCACAAGGCUGCAGGCAAGACCCUGCUCCGACACUGCCUCACUGAGGACAAAGUGGAAGGAGACCAAGGAGGAGGGGACAAGGAGAAGAACUACUUGCUUUUCCCUCCCCUUGGGAGCAAGGGCAUCGAGGUGACCAGCUGGACUGCGGAUGCUUCCCGGGGCCUGCGGUUCAUUGUGUAUGACUUAGCUGGCCAUGAAAGCUAUGAGGUGAUCCAGCCCUUCUUCCUCUCCCCAGGAGCCCUGUAUGUGCUGGUGGUCAACUUGGCCACCUAUGAACCUCGCUGCUUUCCUACUACCGUGGGCACCUUCUUGCAUCGGGUGGGGGCCCGGGUGCCUCACGCUGUGGUGUGCAUUGUGGGCACACACGCGGACCUGUGUGGGGAGCGAGAGCUUGAGGAAAAGUGUCUGGACAUUCACCGCCAGAUCUCUCUGCAGGAGAAGCACGAUGCAGAGGGCCUAAGCCGCCUAGCCAAGGUGGUGGAUGAGGCCCUGGCUCAGGACUUCGAGCUGCGCUCUGCCAGCCCCCACGCAGCCUACUAUGGUGUUUCAGACAAGAACCUUCGGAGGCGCAAGGCCCAUUUUCAAUACCUGCUGAACCACCGGCUGCAGAUCCUCUCCCCCGUGUUGCCGGUUAGCUGUAGGGACCCCCACCAAUUGCAACGCCUCCGCGACAAGCUGCUCUCUGUAGCUGAGCACCGGGAAAUCUUCCCCAACUUACACAGAGUCCUGCCUCGAUCCUGGCAGGUGCUGGAGGAACUCCACUUCCAGCCACCUCAGGCACAGCGACUGUGGCUGAGCUGGUGGGACUCUGCCCGCCUGGGUCUGCAGGCAGGUCUGACGGAGGACCGGCUGCAGAGCGCCCUUUCCUACCUGCAUGAGAGCGGCAAGCUGCUCUAUUUUGAGGAUAGCCCCGCCCUCAAGGAGCACGUCUUCCACAACCUUACCCGCCUCAUUGACAUCCUCAAUGUCUUUUUCCAGAGAGAUGCUUCUUUGCUGCUGCAUAAACUGCUCACAGGGACCAGUGGAGAGGGCGAAGGGGAGGGGGAAGUCUUCCUCACUCCAGCAGUGCCCACCCCGGGUCAGGACCCACUCCGGGCCACUCAGCUUCAUCAUUAUGUGGAAGGCUUUCUGCUGCAUGGGCUCUUGCCCGCCCAUGUCAUCCGGUUGCUGCUUAAGCCCCAUGUCCAGGCCCCGCAGGACUUGCAGCUCCUCCUGGAACUGUUGGAGAAGAUGGGACUCUGUUACUGCCUCAAUAAACCCAAAGGCAAGCCGCUGAAUGGCUCCACGGCUUGGUACAAGUUCCCAUGCUACGUGCAGAAUGAGGUGCCCCACGCAGAGGCCUGGAUUAAUGGGACCAACCUGGCUGGGCAGUCCUUUGUGGCCGAACAGUUGCAGAUUGAAUAUAGUUUUCCCUUUACCUUUCCACCUGGAUUGUUUGCACGCUACAGUGUCCAGAUCAACAGUCAUGUGGUGCACAGGUCGGAUGGGAAAUUUCAGAUCUUUGCCUAUAGAGGGAAAGUUCCUGUAGUGGUGAGUUACAGACCCGCCAAGGGGGUCCUGCAGCCAGACACCCUGUCCAUUGCUAGCCACGCAUCGUUACCAAAUAUAUGGACCGCAUGGCAAGCUAUCACCCCUUUGGUAGAGGAACUGAACGUCCUGCUUCAGGAAUGGCCUGGACUGCACUACACCGUGCACAUCCUCUGUUCUAAGUGCCUUAAGAGAGGGUCCCCCAAUCCACACGCUUUCCCAGGGGAGUUGCUGAGCCAGCCCAGGCCAGAAGGGGUGGCAGAGAUUAUCUGCCCCAAGAAUGGCAGCGAGCGAGUGAAUGUGGCCUUGGUUUACCCACCUACACCGACUGUGAUCAGCCCCUGUUCCAAGUAUCUCCAUACUUUCUUGGACAAUUAAGUGGAAAGGAUGGUGCUCCUUUCCAUCUGCUACCAUUUUUACUGUACCCAAUCUGUGACUUUAGGAGCACCAAGUUUUAAGGGAAGAACGUUGGUGAAAAGCACAGAAACCAGUGACAUCCGUGGCUGUGGAAUUUCCAUGGAGUCAACAGAGCAUGGGAACUGACUGGGACAUCUUUUGCCCCUGGUGAGCCCGCCAUGUUCCCUAGCGCCUUUGGGGCCCAGGGUGAGACCAUGCACCAGGUGCUUGCAGAGGACCCUUGGAGGGGGUUGGAGGGGGCUGGGAAGAUGGGAAAGAACAUUGGAGCAAACGUUUCACAACCUGAACCUCAGAACUGUGAUCCUCCAAGGAGAGAGCUACUUGAAGAAAAGUUAAAAAAAAAAUGUCGAAUGGCUUCUCAGGGAUUUUGUUUUCCGUGUACACAUAAGCCAUAGUUCCAGUCCAGGUGGCAGCGUCUAGCGCACUCAGAUUUCAGUUCUGUUCAAUGUGAAGGAGGGAUCGACUGAUGUUCAUUGCUGUUCUGUCACGAGUGUAAAAUAUGUAUAUGUUAAUCUUUAUUUUUGUAAUAUGCAAAUACAUUUAAAUUUAUACAGUUUGACGCUUCUAGCAUUAGUUAACACUGGGUGCAAUAUUCUGCAUGAGAACUGUGCCAAGAUGGGGCUGGUGUCUUCUUUUAGUGUUAGACCUUUUGUUCUUUUGUCGUCCCUUAGACCUAACCCGCCUUCUCCACUGAAAAGGAAAUGGAGAUCUAACCUCUCCCUGUUAGUCCAUGGAUGGAUUCAGUGUUGGUUUCUAGAACUCUCUGAUAAUCACCAGGAACAUGCAGCCCAUUGAGACAGAGCCCCUCCCAUCUUUUCAUUACACCCCCUGCACGGUAGUCACUGGACAUGAUGGUAGAAUGGUUAGUUCUCUCUCCCUACCCAUCACCACUGCUGAGGCAGAGGGAGGCCUUCCUCGGGGCCAAAUGAGGUGAUGAAUCCAUGAAAACCUGAGUCUUGGAACAAUUUGAGAUAAUCUGAGGUCAGUUCUCAAUCUUGCAGUGAUUCUGUUAUGCACCUUUUCCUAGAACAGUGGGCAUGGUUUAGCAGAACCCCAUGUGAACUUCCACAUCUGCCCAUGGACCUGCAGGUAGGAGCAUGCUUUCACGGAACUCCGUGCCUCAUGGGCUGUUGAUUCAUUCAGAGUCACUUGGAAGACAUCUGCUGCCAAGAUCUAGUAAAACCCUUGUUUUAAAAUCUCCAGGAGGUAAACACUUAAAAAGCGAACCCUGAAAAUCACUCUCUAGUGUCCUCCUAGUUGGGGCCAAACAGCAUAUGCUGUCAUAGUAACACAUUCUCUGAAGAACAUAAAGGAUUCUGUUUACAUCUGCCUCCUCGGUGUGUUGACAGGAAGCAUGUAAAACUAACUGUUCCCCACAAGAAAAGUGAGUCAGCUGGUCCUACUCUUUUGCUUGUUUAUAAAGUAUCAACUCUUGGAAUGCCACCACACACGCAGUCACCACGCAUCUUUAAGAGAAAUGCAAGCAGGCGGCUGCACCGUGAGAAAUUACCCAUCAAUUUGUGUAGAAUCUCUUCCGUUGACUUCCCUGCCUCCUGCCCCCCUCCAGCCUGUUCCACGAAUGUGAUUUCUUAGAAAUCGAAUGGAGUGGGAAUCCUCUCUUUUUGUGUUUUGAAUACUUAGCUAUGACAAGUCCAGUUGGAGAUAUCCUUUUAGAACACAGUCGCAGGAUGGAUCAGAAUUGGAUCUUUCUUUUGUCACAGUUCUCAUGUAUGCAUAUGUGUGUGCAAGUAUAAACCGAAGGGUUAAUGUCUUGUUGCUUUUUGGACCACUGAAUUGUUUGGGCCAUAGGGUUUUUUUGUUUGUUUGUUUGUUUUUAAUUGGCACCAGUCAAUUCUGACACUGUCAAUCAAGAAACUUUGACCAGUCUUAUAAUGUUGUGUAUGACUUUGGGCUUACUCCCCAGAGGGCCAUGUUAAAUAAAAAUAAGGCUCCUUGGGGAGCACACCCUGCAAAUGGUUGCUAUUUUCAUAAACACAGCUGCCCAUGUUCUGAAUAACUGCUACGUCUUGACAAGUGAUGUUUUGUAUUGUCAUCUGAACCCUAGAGAAGCAGUGUAGAUGAGGGAGCCUUGGUCGUCACGUGUGUUGUGGUCAGGGUCGGCAUGCUCAGAAGGUCACGGGCAUGAAAAAAGCUCCAGCGAACGAUGAGAAUUUGCCUCAGUGUGGAGGGAGGCUUGGAGAUGCAAAAGCCACUCCGCUCAAGAGGAAUGUCAGUGUCUGCGUAGGAAAUUCUGUUUCCUGUUUCAACACCUGGGAAGACUCAGCGGCCAGCAGCUGAGGGGCCGUCCACUAAGCACAAGCAGCAUUGUUCUACCCCAGGAGCCCCUUGCCUGUCAGAUGCUCUCCAAGUCUGUUAUGGUUUCUAUUCCUGCAACUAUAGUGGUAUCCAAACCACUUCCUGGGAUUGUAAAAGUGAUGCCAGAAUAAAUGUUUCCCCCUUCCAAGGAAAGAAAAAAAAAAAAAAGACAGUGCUCAUAUUUGACAUGUGUACUGGACUCUUGAAUGAAUAAAGAGGAAAGGCUUGACGUGAUUCCAAUGGAGUGUGUGUUUUCCAUGCUGCAGUCUGUGAAUUGUAAUUGUGGUUUCCCAGUUCAUUGUCCUAACUGGGCAGAAAUUAAAAAAAAAAAAAAAAUCAAUAAAAAUACAGUGAAAUG